rnacentral:rRNA from 1 species
CGGAGGAAAAGAAACCAACAGGGAUUGCCUCAGUAACGGCGAGUGAAGCGGCAAAAGCUCAAAUUUGAAAUCUGGUACCUUCGGUGCCCGAGUUGUAAUUUGAAGAUAGUUUUCUGGUGCUGGCCCUUGUCUAUGUUCCUUGGAACAGGACGUCACAGAGGGUGAGAAUCCCGUCUGGCGGGGUGUCCAGUGCUUUGUAGAUUUCUAUCGACGAGUCGAGUUGUUUGGGAAUGCAGCUCUAAGUGGGUGGUAAAUUCCAUCUAAAGCUAAAUAUUGGCGAGAGACCGAUAGCGAACAAGUACAGUGAUGGAAAGAUGAAAAGAACUUUGAAAAGAGAGUGAAAAAGUACGUGAAAUUGUUGAAAGGGAAGGGUAUUAGAUCAGACUUGGUGUUUUGUGAUUAUCUUCCCUUCUUGGGUUGUGCACUCGCAUUUCACUGGGCCAGCAUCGGUUCGGGUGGUAAGAUAAUGACAUUGGAACGUGGCACUGCCUUCGGGUGGUGUGUUAUAGCCCUUGUUGAUGUUGCCUACCUGGACCGAGGACUGCGGCUUUUGCCUAGGAUGCUGGCGUAAUGAUCUAACACCGCCCGUCUU